CCUACGGGAGGCUGCAGUGGGGAAUAUUGGACAAUGGGGGCAACCCUGAUCCAGCCAUGCCGCGUGUGUGAAGAAGGCCCUCGGGUUGUAAAGCACUUUCAGUGAGGAAGAACGCCUGGUGGUUAAUACCCAUCAGGAAAGACAUCACUCACAGAAGAAGCACCGGCUAACUCCGUGCCAGCAGCCGCGGUAAUACGGAGGGUGCGAGCGUUAAUCGGAAUUACUGGGCGUAAAGCGCGCGUAGGUGGCUUGAUAAGCCGGUUGUGAAAGCCCCGGGCUCAACCUGGGAACGGCAUCCGGAACUGUCAAGCUAGAGUGCAGGAGAGGAAGGUAGAAUUCCCGGUGUAGCGGUGACAUGCGUAGAGAUCGGGAGGAAUACCAGUGGCGAAGGCGGCCUUCUGGACUGACACUGACACUGAGGUGCGAAAGCGUGGGUAGCAAACAGGAUUAGAUACCCUGGUAGUC
rnacentral:rRNA from 1 species